UGUAAAUCGUUGAACAAGAGUAGUACACUUAUUCGUUUCUUUCCAGAGAGUCGGGGAAGGUGGAAUCCGAUAAGAAAGGGUAAGUGGAAUGGACUUGUGAGAGCCAUCCUGAACCAUAGUAGGGAUGGACGGAAUUCCACCGUUAAAAGGAUAGGAUAUCGAGCGAUCUAAUCGCUUCUGUAUCUGAAAUGAGGAAGCAGUUCUUCUGCUUCGAAUGGAGGUGGCACCACGGUUGGAUAAAUCGUCCUCUAU
rnacentral:ncRNA from 1 species